rnacentral:lncRNA from 1 species
UUUUUUCUUCCAACUUCAGAUUAUCCAAGUGAAAUAGAAACAAACAAAUUCCUGAAUCAAGAAAAAACAACACAGAAUAAAAGUAAAAACAGUCAGCAUUUCAUUAAAAAGAAUGUACAGCUAGCAAAAGAUUCAGGAAAACAAGUACCUAUGCUUGAAGGAGAAAGGAAAAGGUUAAUUGAACUGUUGAAAGAUACAGAAGAUGAAAGUACAUUGCAAGAUCUUGAGGAGGAUAUAUGUGCCUGGCUAGCACCAGGAGAAGGGUACACACCUGAACCGAUG